AGCGAACGCUGGCGGCAGGCCUAACACAUGCAAGUCGAACGAACUCUUCGGAGUUAGUGGCGGACGGGUGAGUAACACGUGGGAACGUGCCUUUAGGUUCGGAAUAACUCAGGGAAACUUGUGCUAAUACCGAAUGUGCCCUUCGGGGGAAAGAUUUAUCGCCUUUAGAGCGGCCCGCGUCUGAUUAGCUAGUUGGUGAGGUAACGGCUCACCAAGGCGACGAUCAGUAGCUGGUCUGAGAGGAUGACCAGCCACACUGGGACUGAGACACGGCCCAGACUCCUACGGGAGGCAGCAGUGGGGAAUCUUGCGCAAUGGGCGAAAGCUUGACGCAGCCAUGCCGCGUGAAUGAUGAAGGUCUUAGGAUUGUAAAAUUCUUUCACCGGGGACGAUAAUGACGGUACCCGGAGAAGAAGCCCCGGCUAACUUCGUGCCAGCCGCCGCCGUAACAC
rnacentral:rRNA from 1 species